rnacentral:lncRNA from 1 species
UUCAAACAGUUGAAACCUUGAACUUUCAUGAAUAACCACAAGACUUCCCUUUUGUUUCCUCAGAAGAAAAAAAACAAUCUGAACUUGGUUAACAUGUUUCACACAACUGAACCUCAAACUUUAAUUUUAAGUCCCAACAGUGGAAACAAACAGACACGAACCAAGUUUUCAGCUGCAGUACAUUAGAGAAAAUUGACAUAACUCAACAGACUUUACCAAAAAAUCUCAGCUAGUCACAAAUCGAUAAGAAACUAAAUUUGAACUCACUGAUUCAAUCCAACAAAAAGCUCAAAUGACAGCAACAAUGGAAUACAAACUCAAAAAUUCCAUAGCUCAAGAACAGCUAAAAAACAAAGUUACAUGGGAGAAAGAAAAUCAAACCUAAAGUUGCAAAUUUCUUUUAAUAAUUAUAGCCUUAAUAAUACACCUUUUGCCUCCGAAUACUAGUGAAGUUCAGCAACCAAUCAGCAGGACAACAAUAGAAAUAGAAUCAACGAACUUGAACCUCACGAACAUUCAAUAGACCUCAAUUCACUUCCCUUAAUUAACAAAUGAAAUUCAGAAAGAAAACGAACUCAACCUUCGAGUUCAAACCAAACUCAUUAGCGAAAAAUGAAAGUUUCUGAACUUCCAAAUGCAGAGAACAAAGAGGCUCAGAUUAAACACAAAAACGAAAAUUAGAGUUUUUCUGUAUUUUUUUCUAUUGUUACUGGAAUUGAACUAAGAUGGUUUUCAAAUAUCAAAAAGAAAAAGAAGCUUUCUCCAAGCCCUAUUUUCCAAGUGACCUCCCUUUCCCCAACGAAUUCCCUCAGAACAAAUCCCUAAAAUUCUUUCCCCGUUUUCUCAAACAAAACUUAUCUUAUAUAUGAAACUUAGAAAUAUCGAGCCUUCUUUUCCCUUCUUUCCCAAGAAAUCCCCCAAGUUCUAUGCAAAAUCCGCAAAAAUGAACCCCCAAUCUCUCAUAGAACGAAACCUGGUCAAAUGGAAAGCGUGGAUGUGGUUUCUUACAUCCAACCACUCCCAUUUACCCGAAUUCAUCCCAAGAGAUCAAGAGCUCAUGAACAAUGCUGAAAAUAUUCCGUCAGAGACAGUUAUGCGACGUUGGAGAGAGAGGAAGAGAGACCAUGUGCGUUAAGUUCAUGGAAGAAUUCGUCUGAAAAAUCAGACGAGUUGGGACGAUUUGGGCGAGCUGAAUCACAAUAUGCAUAGCUUCUGAGUUUGGGGAAUUUAGGGUUCGUUCUCUUUUCC